rnacentral:snRNA from 1 species
GUACUCACGUCAGCAGCACAUAUACUAAAAUUGGAACGAUCCAGAGAUUAGCCCGGCCCCUGUGCAAGGAUGACACGCAAAUUCAUGAAGCAUCUCAUGUUUUU